GAUGAACGCUGGCGGCGUGCCUAAUACAUGCAAGUCGAGCGAACGGACGAGAAGCUUGCUUCUCUGAUGUUAGCGGCGGACGGGUGAGUAACACGUGGAUAACCUACCUAUAAGACUGGGAUAACUUCGGGAAACCGGAGCUAAUACCGGAUAAUAUUUUGAACCGCAUGGUUCAAAAGUGAAAGACGGUCUUGCUGUCACUUAUAGAUGGAUCCGCGCUGCAUUAGCUAGUUGGUAAGGUAACGGCUUACCAAGGCAACGAUGCAUAGCCGACCUGAGAGGGGGGGCGGCCACACUGGAACUGUGACACGGUCCAGACUCCGACGGGAGGCAGCAGGAGGGCAUCUUCCGCAAUAGUCGAAAGCCUGACGUAGUAACGCCGCGUGAGUGAUGAAGGUCUUCGGAUCGUAAAACUCUGUUAUUAGGGAAGAACAUAUGUGUAAGUAACUGUGCACAUCUUGCCGGCACCUAAUCAGAAAGCCACGGCUAACUACGUG
rnacentral:rRNA from 1 species